UACCACAUAAGCAAUGGCCACAGUUGGUUUUACUGGCACGGAGAAAUGUGGGAGACCUGAAGAAUAAAAAAAAGUCCCACCGUUGAUCAAUCUGUUUAUUGUCCUUCCUUCAAACGAAAAAAAAAAAAAUCUUACUAUUAUACCUUUUUAAUAUAUCUGAGAUUAUGGGUUUUGGGUGAAAAUGGCCAGCGAACAUGGUCUAAGAAGAUGGUCGACGAACAUGUUUAUAAUUUUUUUUUUGACUUGAGAAAAAUUCUUGAGUUUUGGGCCACAUUUGGUAUUUAUUAAUGGGGCGGGCCGUAUAUGUUAGAAUGACCCAAAAUCUAGUAGUAAACAUCGUCAUCAUCUACCAAAU
rnacentral:lncRNA from 1 species